rnacentral:rRNA from 1 species
CCUACGGGUGGCAGCAGUGGGGAAUAUUGCACAAUGGGGGAAACCCUGAUGCAGCGACGCCGCGUGAGUGAAGAAGUAUUUCGGUAUGUAAAGCUCUAUCUGCAGGGAAGAAAAUGACGGUACCUGACUAAGAAGCCCCGACUAACUACGUGCCAGCAGCCGCGGUAAUACGUAGGGGGCAAGCGUUAUCCGGAUUUACUGGGUGUAAAGGGAGCGUAGACGGCAGCACAAGUCUGGAGUGAAAUGCCGGGGCUUAACCCCGGAACGGCUGUGGAAACUGGGCGGCUAGAGUGCAGGAGAGGUAAGUGGAAUGCGUGGUGUAGCGGUGAAAUGCGUAGAUAUUAGGAGGAACACCAGUGGCGAAGGCGGCUUGCUGGACUGUAACUGACGUUGAGGCACGAAAGCGUGGGGAGCAAACAGGAUUAGAUACCCGAGUAGUC